GGGGCGUGGCGCUACUGCUGCCGGGGGCGCUCCGGCGGCCGCGGCUCUGCGGAACUGCCGUGCCCGGUGCCGGGCGGGUCGCGGUCGCUCCCUGGAGGGUCCCGGGGCCGGGGCUCCACCUUCCCCUAAAAAGGAGGGGAGAGCUCCCGCCUGCGCGGACCCGCCAAGGCACGGACGGGGUUCGAACCCGUGAUCUUCGGUUUACGAGACCGACGCCUUACCACUUGGCCACCGCGCCUGCGUUAAGAGCUUCUCCUGACGCCUUUUUAUCGCUGGCGCCACUCCCGCACGCCCGCCCACGGCCCGCCCUCGCGCGCGCCUGGGCUGCCACCUGCCGGGGGCGCGCGGCCCUGAGGCGCUGAGGGCGCAGCGGCGGCUGAGGGGGCGGAACGGGAGGGAGGGACCGACCCGGGCUGCCCCCGCUCCCGGUCUCGUUCUGGCCCUCGCUUUCCCUUCGUCUCCCUCUGGCUCUCGCUCUUGGAGCUGCCCGGAGCCUCCCUCCGCCUGUUCUGAGGCGUUCUGAGGGCAGCGCCCUCUGCAGCGUCCGCCCCGGGGCUGUGAGGGCGCGGUACCCGGAGGCGGCACUCGAGGCCUCACAUAGGCCGGCACGGCUUAGAGAGGGGGAAAAAAGCGGGAUUAAAGUUUUCCUCUUCCAAGAAGAGAAGCAGAAAUGCAAAACGUUGGGAUAACUAAAUGGUCCUGUGCAGCUCACAUCUGUGUUUAUUAAUGGUUUUUGAUCCUUAUGAGCUGAGAGGUAAUUUUGUGCACUUGUCUUGGAAGGGGCUCAAGAAUGAUGCAGUAGAUGGCAGAAUGGCCCUGCAGUCCUUUUUCUGCACAGAAGACUGGAGACUCACAGGUGACCUUGCAAUUUGCAUUGAAAAAGAAAAAAAAUACUCUGAUAUUUAGAAUAUGGCUGAAGUGUUCCAGUAGCCCAGAACCAGUCCCUCUGCCCUGGCAUUCCCUCCUGUCAGGAUCCUUCCAUGACAGCAGUUACAAUCCAUUCCUUAAUGGAAUCACUGGGCACCACAACAUCUCCCACUACUGUAAUGGCUUCUUGGGCUCCUAAGCCUGGUUAUGGCUGGAAGCCUCUUCCUUUUACUGCUGAGCUCCUCUGUUUAUUACUUUAGUUUUAUCAGUGCCUUGCUGAUAGCUCCCUUAUUUUAACUGACAUCAAGUUGUUAUUCAUUAAUGUCUCCAUGUAGUUCAUGCACACUUUUCCCAGUAAUGUAUCUUUGAUGUUUAUAGUUGAUAACACAUGGUUAUAGUUAAUGAAAUUUUACUAUCAACAUGCUUGAACUCUUACCUUACUCUAUUCUUUGUAUAAUUUCAAUAAACAUGUUAUGGACUUGCUCA